UUUGGCAUUAGCUCUGUCAGACAUGGAGGAAGCUUCCAGCAGCUUCUCAGAGAAGCCACCCUGUAGCUGCCCCACUACCAAAACCUUGCCACAAAAAUCCAAAAUAGAUCAAAGCUUCUAUUUGAAGAAUGAAACCUAAAAAGAGUUCGAGAACUACUCCUAGAUCUGCAAUCUUUUUCUCUGUGUAAGAACUACAACUUAUGAACAAGUUUGAUUAAAAGAUCAAUCUCAGCUCUGGAGAUGAAUGCUUUUGAAGAUGAAACUAUGUUAAAUAUGUCAGCUAAUUUCAAAACCAGCAUGAAAGAAUUGAAGGUUAUGAAGCAAUGGUUAGCUGAGCCAGAGAAUGGGAAAAGCUCCUCUGCCAAGCAUCUAUUGAAUCAAAUCUGUAAUCAUCCUCAGUCAACGCAGACAGAUAUACCAGUAGAAAAAAUGCCUACUUUACCUGGACAGAUGAUGGUGAGAAUGACAUUGUUUUUGUGAAAUGACCUCAAAAGGCUGGGAUUAAAUACACUAUUUUUUCAAGAAGAAAGAAAAAAAAGAAAUCAAAGAAAAUAAUAAACCCUAGAAAACUAGAAGUUGUGAUUAAGAAAUUAUGUCAAUCCCGAGAGAUUCUUCUAGGUUUUCUUUAAUUAAUAUGUAUUGCCUUUUUAAAGAAUAGAUUUUAAUUUCUAGCUGUAAUAUCUAAUUAUAGGUUUUAUAUUUUUAAUAUUAAAUAUUGCUCUGAAAUUAGGAGAAGAAAUUUAGUUAUCUAGGAAUAAUAUAGAUUUUUCAAUGCACAGAAAAAAAAUAAAUGCUGCUCAGUUAUCUUUAGGACUUUUAGUAUGUACUGCAAUUUAAAUAGAAUGGCUUCUUGAAAUGACAAAAAAUGUUUUCUCUAAAUAUAAAUGCAUUAUUAAAAUGGUCAAACCUUUUUCUUCGGCA